AUACGUAGGUGGCAAGCGUUGUCCGGAUUUAUUGGGCGUAAAGCGAGCGCAGGCGGUCUCUUAAGUCUGAUGUGAAAGCCCCCGGCUCAACCGGGGAGGGUCAUUGGAAACUGGGAGACUUGAGUGCAGAAGAGGAGAGUGGAAUUCCAUGUGUAGCGGUGAAAUGCGUAGAUAUAUGGAGGAACACCAGUGGCGAAGGCGGCUCUCUGGUCUGUAACUGACGCUGAGGCUCGAAAGCGUGGGGAGCAAACAGGAUUAGAUUCCCUGGUAGUCCACGCCGUAAACGAUGAGUGCUAAGUGUUGGAGGGUUUCCGCCCUUCAGUGCUGCAGCUAACGCAUUAAGCACUCCGCCUGGGGAGUACGGCCGCAAGGCUGAAACUUAAAGGAAUUGACGGGG
rnacentral:rRNA from 1 species